CUGGAAGCCGUUUGGCUCGGAGGAACGGAAACACAGGGCUCCCAGUAUGAGUUCACCGACUUUACUCUGCCUAGCCAGACCCAACACAGAGACAACCGGACGAACAACUAUUGUGUUGUGCGCAGGCAGCCGUGUGCCAGCCAGAGCAGCCUGAAGGACUUCCACUGGGACGGCUCCCAGGCGCUCAUCCUGGGCCGCUGGGCCUGUCCUGGCUGGUGAAGUUCCCCUCGGAGCAGGAGCAGCUCUGCACACGCCAGGCCACCGCCCAGCAGGUCCACACGCUGGAGGAACUCUGGAAGACCCAGGACAACAUCACGUUGAAAUGGGAUCUGGGGCUCUAAAAAACGGAUUGCUUAUUUCUCCGUUCCCAAGACGGACUCGGGUGACAUACGCUUGAUGCAGGGCGAUCUGACUGAGGUACCAAGGGGACUCGACCACUAACUGGAAGGGGAAGGGACAUGUGAUUACAGUCCCUGACAGAGACUCUGGGGAUGAGAUGGCCAUGGAGGAUCAGCGGGCGCUCCGUUGGAGGUGCCUCACGACCCUAAAACCCUGACUCCCAGCCGGACUCUCUGUGGUGGGCCGCCUCCUUGACAGGAACUGACGCACAGCUCCCUGGAGACCCCUACGGUGGACGAGACCCCUGUGGUGGACGAGACCUCGGUGUCGGGCUGCGUCUACCACCAGCUGCUGGGCCACGAGGGGGGGGAGGACGUGGUCAUCAGGGGUCCGCUCCCCACGCGCUUCACCGCCCCGGGCAUGCCCGGCCUCCACCAAUCCCGGGUGGGAGGGCACCAUCCAUCCCUCCUUACAACCAGCAGGCAGUGCUGGGACGUGCUGAGACGGCUCCCCUGCACUUAUAUUCGUGGAUGAUAAUGAGUAAAACGGGCAUGAGCUUGGUUAGUUUAUAAUUACAGAGCAAAACACACCUUGCAUUCUUCUGCCAAACUUACGGAAACAAAACACACCUCACACAAUACCAACCUCAGUUUACUAUUCCGUUCGUGAUUUCGGUGUGCGUGUGUGUGCGUGCCUGGGGUGUAAAAAACGGUAAUACCGUGGACUCCUACCUUUUGUAUUUCACCUGGUUCUUUUCCACCAGGGUUUAAAACCAUAUUUUCCACCUGCUGUCAUUAAGGUGUAUGAGGCGUAGACCGUCCUACAGCGCCCCCUGAGUCUGAUCCAGGUACUACAGGCACCGUGCUCAACCACCUGGCCAGGCGGGGCAGCGGGUAACUCGCUGUGUCUGAGCUUGGCCCGGUGUGAUGAUGUUUGCUGUGAGCUGUGUGGCCCAAUAGGACAGGGCUUAGAGGGUGUUUGUCUGGAACAGGGGUUCCCAAACUCCUUUAACCCGAGACCCAAAAGAGAAAUUUGCUGUCUCCCCGGAACCCAAACGUACAAGAUGCAGCAUGAAUUGCCG
ensembl:lncRNA